rnacentral:tRNA from 1 species
GCAGUGGUGGUUCAGUGGUAGAAUUCUGGCCUUCUGUGUGGGAGACCCCAGGGUUCAGGGUUUGAUUCCCAGCCAAUGUA